rnacentral:rRNA from 1 species
AGAGUUUGAUCCUGGCUCAGAACUAACGCUGGCGGCGUGCCUAACACAUGCAAGUCGUACGAGAAAGUUGGCUUCGGCCGAUGAGUAAAGUGGCGCACGGGUGAGUAACGCGUGGAUAAUCUACCCCUCAGUUGGGAAUAACUCAUCGAAAGGUGGGCUAAUACCGAAUAAUACUGCAUGACUUCUGUUGUGUAGUCAAAGAUGGCCUCUGCUUGCAAGCUAUCGCUGAAGGAUGAGUCCGCGUACCAUUAGCUAGUUGGUAGGGUAAUGGCCUACCAAGGCAACGAUGGUUAGCUGGUCUGAGAGGAUGAUCAGCCACACUGGAACUGAGACACGGUCCAGACUCCUACGGGAGGCAGCAGUGAGGAAUAUUGCGCAAUGGGGGCAACCCUGACGCAGCAACGCCGCGUGAGUGAGGAAGGUUUUCGGACCGUAAAGCUCUGUCGAGCGGGAAGAAAUGCAUAGUGGCUAAUAUCCAUUAUGCUUGACGGUACCGCUAAAGGAAGCACCGGCUAACUCCGUGCCAGCAGCCGCGGUAAUACGGGGGGUGCUAGCGUUGUUCGGAAUCAUUGGGCGUAAAGAGCGUGUAGGCGGCUGGAUAAGUCAGAUGUGAAAGCCCUGGGCUUAACCCAGGAAGUGCAUUUGAAACUGUUCAGCUUGAGUAAGGGAGAGGAAAGUGGAAUUCCUGGUGUAGAGGUGAAAUUCGUAGAUAUCAGGAGGAACACCGGUGGCGAAGGCGACUUUCUGGCCCUAUACUGACGCUGAGACGCGAGAGCGUGGGUAGCAAACAGGAUUAGAUACCCUGAUAGUCCACGCUGUAAACGAUGUUCACUACGUGUUGGGGGUAUUGACCCUCUCAGUGCCGCAGCUAACGCAUUAAGUGAACCGCCUGGAGAGUACGGUCGCAGAUUAAACUCAAAGGAAUUGACGG